GAUGAACGCUGGCGGCGUGCCUAAUACAUGCAAGUCGAACGAAGAUCUAGCUUGCUAGAUCUUAGUGGCGAACGGGUGAGUAAUACAUAAAUAAUCUGCCCAUAUGACUGGGAUAACUAUUGGAAACGAUAGCUAAUACCGGAUAGGUUGAUUGGAGGCAUCUCUGAUUAAUUAAAGUAGGAUUUCUACACAAAUGGAUGAGUUUAUGGCGCAUUAGUUAGUUGGUGGGGUAACGGCCAACCAAGACGAUGAUGCGUAGCCGACCUGAGAGGGUGGACGGCCGCACUGGGACUGAGACACGGCCCAGACUCCUGAGGGAGGCAGCAGUAGGUAAUUUUCGGCAAUGGGCGCAAGCCGGACCGAGCAACGCCGCGUGAGUGAUUAAGGCCUUCGGGUUGUAAAGCUCUGUUGUAAGGGAAGAACAUUCAGGAUAGGAAAUGAUCUUGAACUGACGGUACCGUACCAGAAAGCCACGGCUAACUACGUGCCAGCCGCCGCCGUAACAC
rnacentral:rRNA from 1 species